AACGUCUCUUUUCAUCCUCAGCCUCACCAACAGAUGUCUCCUCUACAGUUUCAGCUGUUUCCCCUGCAGACUCUCCUGCCAACCCCUCUGCCCCCCAUGGUAGAGCCUUCAUCAGAAGACACAGGAUGGCUCUAGAGACUCGCCUGGGACUCUUACAGCCCAUAUUCCUGCGUCUCCAGGAUCAUGGGGUUCUGAUUCACGAGGAGAGGGAGGAGGUGGACAGCAAAUCCACCAAGACCCUACAGAACCAAGCCCUGCUGGACAUGGUGGUAAGGAAGGGGUCUCGCGCCCAGGAACACUUCUACCAGGUCCUGAAGGAAGUAGAUCCCUGCCUGGUCGAAGACCUGGAAGAGCAGACAGUCUGAGAGGUAACCAUGGAUACAACAGCAUCAGGAUAUAUUAUAUCACUAUACUAAUACAUGCUCUGAAAGAGACAGACAGUCUGAGACAGGUAGCCAUGGAUACAACCUCACAACCUCAGAAGAUAUCAAAACAUUUAACAGAGACAGAGAGCAGCAAUUUGAGGAGGAGCCAUCCUGACCAGAGGUGGUUGGUGUGUAACGUGAUUGGACACCAUUCUCACCAGCACUCCCAUCAGUCUGUAGUUUACUAUACAAGCCCCAGGUCUCAGGCAAGAUGACAUCACUGUGAGGCUACUGUCUACCAGACAACCUACCUGUGUUACUCUGGUACACUGGCUACAGACAACAAGAUGAUUGAAUUUCUAUCUGGAACAUG